rnacentral:rRNA from 1 species
UUAAGCGACUAAGCGUACACGGUGGAUGCCCUGGCAGUCAGAGGCGAUGAAGGACGUGCUAAUCUGCGAUAAGCGUCGGUAAGGUGAUAUGAACCGUUAUAACCGGCGAUUUCCGAAUGGGGAAACCCAGUGUGUUUCGACACACUAUCAUUAACUGAAUCCAUAGGUUAAUGAGGCGAACCGGGGGAACUGAAACAUCUAAGUACCCCGAGGAAAAGAAAUCAACCGAGAUUCCCCCAGUAGCGGCGAGCGAACGGGGAGGAGCCCAGAGCCUGAAUCAGUGUGUGUGUUAGUGGAAGCGUCUGGAAAGGCGCGCGAUACAGGGUGACAGCCCCGUACACAAAAAUGCACAUAUUGUGAGCUCGAUGAGUAGGGCGGGACACGUGGUAUCCUGUCUGAAUAUGGGGGGACCAUCCUCCAAGGCUAAAUACUCCUGACUGACCGAUAGUGAACCAGUACCGUGAGGGAAAGGCGAAAAGAACCCCGGCGAGGGGAGUGAAAAAGAACCUGAAACCGUGUACGUACAAGCAGUGGGAGCCUCUUUUAUGGGGUGACUGCGUACCUUUUGUAUAAUGGGUCAGCGACUUAUAUUCUGUAGCAAGGUUAACCGAAUAGGGGAGCCGAAGGGAAACCGAGUCUUAACUGGGCGUUAAGUUGCAGGGUAUAGACCCGAAACCCGGUGAUCUAGCCAUGGGCAGGUUGAAGGUUGGGUAACACUAACUGGAGGACCGAACCGACUAAUGUUGAAAAAUUAGCGGAUGACUUGUGGCUGGGGGUGAAAGGCCAAUCAAACCGGGAGAUAGCUGGUUCUCCCCGAAAGCUAUUUAGGUAGCGCCUCGUGAACUCAUCUCCGGGGGUAGAGCACUGUUUCGGCAAGGGGGUCAUCCCGACUUACCAACCCGAUGCAAACUGCGAAUACCGGAGAAUGUUAUCACGGGAGACACACGGCGGGUGCUAACGUCCGUCGUGAAGAGGGAAACAACCCAGACCGCCAGCUAAGGUCCCAAAGUCAUGGUUAAGUGGGAAACGAUGUGGGAAGGCCCAGACAGCCAGGAUGUUGGCUUAGAAGCAGCCAUCAUUUAAAGAAAGCGUAAUAGCUCACUGGUCGAGUCGGCCUGCGCGGAAGAUGUAACGGGGCUAAACCAUGCACCGAAGCUGCGGCAGCGACACUAUGUGUUGUUGGGUAGGGGAGCGUUCUGUAAGCCUGUGAAGGUGUACUGUGAGGUAUGCUGGAGGUAUCAGAAGUGCGAAUGCUGACAUAAGUAACGAUAAAGCGGGUGAAAAGCCCGCUCGCCGGAAGACCAAGGGUUCCUGUCCAACGUUAAUCGGGGCAGGGUGAGUCGACCCCUAAGGCGAGGCCGAAAGGCGUAGUCGAUGGGAAACAGGUUAAUAUUCCUGUACUUGGUGUUACUGCGAAGGGGGGACGGAGAAGGCUAUGUUGGCCGGGCGACGGUUGUCCCGGUUUAAGCGUGUAGGCUGGUUUUCCAGGCAAAUCCGGAAAAUCAAGGCUGAGGCGUGAUGACGAGGCACUACGGUGCUGAAGCAACAAAUGCCCUGCUUCCAGGAAAAGCCUCUAAGCAUCAGGUAACAUCAAAUCGUACCCCAAACCGACACAGGUGGUCAGGUAGAGAAUACCAAGGCGCUUGAGAGAACUCGGGUGAAGGAACUAGGCAAAAUGGUGCCGUAACUUCGGGAGAAGGCACGCUGAUAUGUAGGUGAAGUCCCUCGCGGAUGGAGCUGAAAUCAGUCGAAGAUACCAGCUGGCUGCAACUGUUUAUUAAAAACACAGCACUGUGCAAACACGAAAGUGGACGUAUACGGUGUGACGCCUGCCCGGUGCCGGAAGGUUAAUUGAUGGGGUCAGCGCAAGCGAAGCUCUUGAUCGAAGCCCCGGUAAACGGCGGCCGUAACUAUAACGGUCCUAAGGUAGCGAAAUUCCUUGUCGGGUAAGUUCCGACCUGCACGAAUGGCGUAAUGAUGGCCAGGCUGUCUCCACCCGAGACUCAGUGAAAUUGAACUCGCUGUGAAGAUGCAGUGUACCCGCGGCAAGACGGAAAGACCCCGUGAACCUUUACUAUAGCUUGACACUGAACAUUGAGCCUUGAUGUGUAGGAUAGGUGGGAGGCUUAGAAGUGUGGACGCCAGUCUGCAUGGAGCCGACCUUGAAAUACCACCCUUUAAUGUUUGAUGUUCUAACGUUGACCCGUGAUCCGGGUUGCGGACAGUGUCUGGUGGGUAGUUUGACUGGGGCGGUCUCCUCCUAAAGAGUAACGGAGGAGCACGAAGGUUGGCUAAUCCUGGUCGGACAUCAGGAGGUUAGUGCAAUGGCAUAAGCCAGCUUGACUGCGAGCGUGACGGCGCGAGCAGGUGCGAAAGCAGGUCAUAGUGAUCCGGUGGUUCUGAAUGGAAGGGCCAUCGCUCAACGGAUAAAAGGUACUCCGGGGAUAACAGGCUGAUACCGCCCAAGAGUUCAUAUCGACGGCGGUGUUUGGCACCUCGAUGUCGGCUCAUCACAUCCUGGGGCUGAAGUAGGUCCCAAGGGUAUGGCUGUUCGCCAUUUAAAGUGGUACGCGAGCUGGGUUUAGAACGUCGUGAGACAGUUCGGUCCCUAUCUGCCGUGGGCGCUGGAGAAUUGAGGGGGGCUGCUCCUAGUACGAGAGGACCGGAGUGGACGCAUCACUGGUGUUCGGGUUGUCAUGCCAAUGGCACUGCCCGGUAGCUAAAUGCGGAAGAGAUAAGUGCUGAAAGCAUCUAAGCACGAAACUUGCCCCGAGAUGAGUUCUCCCUGACCCUUUAAGGGUCCUGAAGGAACGUUGAAGACGACGACGUUGAUAGGCCGGGUGUGUAAGCGCAGCGAUGCGUUGAGCUAACCGGUACUAAUGAACCGUGAGGCUUAACCUU